rnacentral:rRNA from 1 species
CCUACGGGAGGCAGCAGUGGGGAAUAUUGGGCAAUGGGCGCAAGCCUGACCCAGCAACGCCGCGUGAAGGAAGACGGCUUUCGGGUUGUAAACUUCUUUUCUGAGGGACGAAGAAAGUGACGGUACCUCAGGAAUAAGCCACGGCUAACUACGGGCCAGCAGCCGCGGUAAUACGUAGGGGGCAAGAGUUAUCCGGAUUUAUUGGGUGUAAAGGGCGUGUAGGCGGGAAAGCAAGUCAGAUGUGAAAGCUCAGGGCUCAACCCUGAGCCUGCAUUUGAAACUGUUUUUCUUGAGUGCUGGAGAGGCGAUCGGAAUUCCGGGUGUAGCGGUGAAAUGCGUAGAUAUCCGGAGGAACACCAGUGGCGAAGGCGGAUUGCUGGACAGUAACUGACGCUGAGGCGCGAAAGCGUGGGGAGCAAACAGGAUUAGAUACCCGUGUAGUC